rnacentral:rRNA from 1 species
UACAGAGGGUGCGAGCGUUGUUCGGAAUUAUUGGGCGUAAAGGGCAGGUAGGUGGUCCCAAAAGUCUGCUGUGAAAUCCCCGAGCUUAACUUGGGAAGUGCGGCAGAUACUCUGGGACUAGAGUGCUGGAGGGGUUCGUGGAAUUCCCGGUGUAGCGGUGAAAUGCGCAGAUAUCAGGAGGAACACCGAUGGCGAAGGCGGUU